UCGCACCUACCGAUUGGAUGGUCCGGUGAAGGCUCGGGACUGCUAUUGUAAAUUUUAUUUGUAAUGGCAGGAACUUGUCUGAACCUUAUCAUCUAGAGGAAGGUG
rnacentral:rRNA from 1 species